rnacentral:rRNA from 1 species
CUUCGGUACAUCGGUGACAGGUGGUGCAUGGUUGUCGUCAGCUCGUGUCGUGAGAUGUUGGUUAAGUCCCGCAACGAGCGCAACCCCUAUUGUUAGUUGCCAUCAUUCAGUUGGGCACUCUAGCGAGACUGCCGGUAAUAAACCGGAGGAAGGUGGGGAUGACGUCAAAUCAUCAUGCCCCUUAUGACCUGGGCUACACACGUGCUACAAUGGUUGGUACAACGAGUUGCGAGUCGGUGACGGCGAGCUAAUCUCUUAAAGCCAAUCUCAGUUCGGAUUGUAGGCUGCAACUCGCCUACCAUGAAGUCGGAAUCGCUAGUAAUCGCGGAUCAGCACGCCGCGGUGAAUACGUUCCCGGGCCUU